UACGAAGGUGGCAAGCGUUGUUCGGAUUUACUGGGCGUACAGAGAGCGUAGGCGGUUGGGUAAGCCCUCCGUGAAAUCUCCGGGCCUAACCCGGAAAGUGCGGAGGGGACUGCUCGGCUAGAGGAUGGGAGAGGAGCGCGGAAUUCCCGGUGUAGCGGUGAAAUGCGUAGAGAUCGGGAGGAAGGCCGGUGGCGAAGGCGGCGCUCUGGAACAUUUCUGACGCUGAGGCUCGAAAGCGUGGGGAGCAAACAGG
rnacentral:rRNA from 1 species